rnacentral:rRNA from 1 species
UACAGAGGGGGCAAGCGUUGUUCGGAAUUACUGGGCGUAAAGGGCGCGUAGGUGGCCUUCUAAGUCAUGCGUGAAAUCCCCGGGCUCAACCCGGGAACUGUGUCUGAUACUGGAAGGCUUGAAUCCGGGAGAGGGAUGCGGAAUUCCAGGUGUAGCGGUGAAAUGCGUAGAUAUCUGGAGGAACACCGGUGGCGAAGGCGGCGUUCUGGACUGUUUCUGACACUGAAUAACGAAAGCCAGGGGAGCAAACGGG